UACAGAGGGGGCAAGCGUUGUUCGGAAUUACUGGGCGUAAAGGGCGCGUAGGCGGCCUUCUAAGUCGAACGUGAAAUCCCCGGGCUCAACCCGGGAACUGCGUCCGAUACUGGGAGGCUUGAAUCCGGGAGAGGGAUGUGGAAUUCCAGGUGUAGCGGUGAAAUGCGUAGAUAUCUGGAGGAACACCAAUGGCGAAGGCAGCUCGCUGGGACGUGACUGACGCUGAGACGCGAAAGCGUGGGGAGCAAACAGG
rnacentral:rRNA from 1 species